CCUACGGGAGGCAGCAGUGAGGAAUAUUGGUCAAUGGGCGUAAGCCUGAACCAGCCAAGUCGCGUGAGGGAUGAAGGUUCUAUGGAUCGUAAACCUCUUUUAUAAGGGAAUAAAGUGCGGGACGUGUCCCGUUUUGUAUGUACCUUAUGAAUAAGGAUCGGCUAACUCCGUGCCAGCAGCCGCGGUAAUACGGAGGAUCCGAGCGUUAUCCGGAUUUAUUGGGUUUAAAGGGUGCGUAGGUGGCCUUUUAAGUCAGCGGUGAAAGUCUGUGGCUCAACCAUAGAAUUGCCGUUGAAACUGGGAGGCUUGAGUAUGUUUGAGGCAGGCGGAAUGCGUGGUGUAGCGGUGAAAUGCUUAGAUAUCACGAAGAACCCCGAUUGCGAAGGCAGCCUGCCAAGCCAUGACUGACGCUGAUGCACGAAAGCGUGGGUAUCAAACAGGAUUAGAUACCCUAGUAGUC
rnacentral:rRNA from 1 species